rnacentral:ncRNA from 1 species
AUGAUGAUACGGGGAGAGUGCGCAACCAGCGUCGCCGAAGGAGCAAGUAGUCGAUUACUAUGAAUCUCUCAGGCAAAAGGACUCGUAUUGGACG